UACAGAGGGUGCGAGCGUUACUCGGAAUUACUGGGCGUAAAGCGUGCGUAGGCGGUUAUUUAAGUCGGAUGUGAAAGCCCCGGGCUCAACCUGGGAAUUGCAUUCGAGACUGAAUAGCUAGGGUACGGUAGAGGGAAGUGGAAUUUCCGGUGUAGCGGUGAAAUGCGUAGAUAUCGGAAGGAACAUCAGUGGCGAAAGCGACUUCCUGGACCAGUACCGACGUUCAGGCACGAAAGCGUGGGGAGCAAACAGG
rnacentral:rRNA from 1 species